UNCCGGUUGAUCCUGCCGGACUCCACUGCUAUCGGGGUAAGGCUAAGCCAUGCAAGUCGAAGGCCUCCGGCUCCGGGGGCCUGGCGUACGGCUGAGUAACGCGUGGCCAACCUGCCCUGCGGAGGGGGAUAACCCCGGGAAACUGGGGAUAAACCCCCAUAGGUGACCGGGUCUGGAAGGACCGGUCGCCGAAAGUCCCGGUCGGGGAUGCUCCGGCCGGGAGCCGCAGGAUGGGGCUGCGUCCUAUCAGGUAGUUGGUGGGGUAACGGCCCACCAAGCCUGUGACGGGUAGGGGCCCUGAGAGGGGGAGCCCCCAGAUGGACUCUGAGACAAGAGUCCAGGCCCUACGGGGCGCAGCAGGCGCGAAAACUCCGCAAUGGGCGAAAGCCCGACGGGGUUACCCCGAGUGCCACCCUCGUGGUGGCUUUUGCCCGCUCUAAAAAGGCGGGCGAAUAAGGGGAGGGCAAGUCGGGUGUCAGCCGCCGCGGUAAUACCCGCUCCCCGAGUGGUGGAGGCUAUUACUGGGCCUAAAGCGCCCGUAGCCGGCCCGGUGUGUCCCUCGUUAAAUCCACGGGCUUAACCCGUGGGCUGCGGGGGAUACUACCGGGCUUGGGGGUGGGAGAGGCGCCCGGUAUUCCCGGGGUAGGGGUAAAAUCCUCUGAUCCCGGGAGGACCAUCAGUGGCGAAGCGGGGCGCCAGACACGCCCGACGGUGAGGGGCGAAAGCUGGGGGAGCAAACGGGAUUA
rnacentral:rRNA from 1 species